UCCUCUCUCUUCCAGAAUCAUCUCUUCCCGUCCGCUCUUCUUCCUCCCCAUCUACUGCGCCGGAAAAAACAUCAAAGAUACUAAAUCAGAAUAAACUCUCCACCUUCGACGCCAGGCAUCACCUAUGAGACCAAACAUAAACCACUCUGUUUCUACAUCCGCAAUUCCAAGCUCGCAAAACCCUCAAUCAAGCCCAGAAACAGAAUCCCGUCCUCCAUCGCUAGUUCCCGGCAGCAACCCUCGUCAUUAUAGCAAUACAGACCCAAUCUAUUGCAUGCAGUUAGAUAUGGAGUAUCUAAACGAUAAUCAUAAAAGAGAGAAGAGAUAGAUAAUCAGAAAAUAUGGAAGAGAUGGAUCUGAGCAAGUCCUAAGAUAAGUAGAGUUUUAACAAUGAUCUAUUUUAGUCUAACUCUAAUUCCUACUUUUUACAUAAUUUCAUUUACUGAAAUUCAUUUUCUCUGCCCUGUGUAGUUUAGCAGAGUCAAGGGAAACACAUAUUUCUUAAAUUCUACAAACAUAAAAACGCAGAAGUGAAAUACUCUUAAAUUCCAUUUUCAUUGAUUUUACUUCAAAUUGCAGAAAGUUUCAACGGCAUAUGUAAUUUAUACUGGACUUUUAGGCAAUUCGUAUGUUUAUGUUAUGCGAUGAGGAUAAUUUUGAGAGGAUACUUGUAGGUCUAUUUGUUAUAGAAUGUUGUCAGGUUAAGAUAAUUGCAUUGUUAGGAUGUCUGCGAGCAGAAAUCUGGCUGGAUUAUAAUAGAGGAUAUUACCAAUUCCGAUAUCAUUGAAUUAUUGAUAGCAUGCAAACGAUUAAGAGUAUGUAAUUUUUUCUGGUUUGAUUCCGCCAUAAUUAAUCAUUGAUUCAUUCAUCUCUCUUUCUUUUGAGAUCUGUCCAGAUUGGAUUUUGAGAACUGGAUUUCUCCCGAGAGGACUCCUGACUCCAUGUUCAUCCUUGUUUCAGCAGUAUGGACAUACAGUUGCAGUCUCGAUGGAGCUUCUACUUUGUCCUUCCUUCUAUCGCAGCCUCAAAGAAUUUAUAUUGCUCUCCAAUAUGACAAACAGACUUUGCUCUCCAAUAUGACAGACUACUCCGCCAGCAGGAACAAAUUUGGUACUAUUGGGUGUGAUACUGCCUUCUUAUUUAUAGUGUUGAAGUGAUGUAUAGGUUGGUGUAAAUAUUUAUUUUGAAUUUUAAAUUCAUCCGUAUUAAUUUAAAUUAAUGUUAGUUUUGGAAAUUGUAAAAUUCAUUUGUAAUUCAAUACAUAUAGUUAUUGAAACUUGCAAUUAUGCUUUGUUUCUUGUAGUAAAUGUGAACACAAUAGAUGCCUACCAUUGAGCAUUAAAUGUAAAAAUAGUUCUAAUUCA